UUGAUGAACGCUAGCUACAGGCUUAACACAUGCAAGUCGAGGGGCAUCAGGAAGAAAGCUUGCUUUCUUUGCUGGCGACCGGCGCACGGGUGAGUAACACGUAUCCAACCUGCCCUUUACUCGGGGAUAGCCUUUCGAAAGAAAGAUUAAUACCCGAUGGCAUAAUGAUUCCGCAUGGUUUCAUUAUUAAAGGAUUCCGGUAAAGGAUGGGGAUGCGUUCCAUUAGGUUGUUGGUGAGGUAACGGCUCACCAAGCCUUCGAUGGAUAGGGGUUCUGAGAGGAAGGUCCCCCACAUUGGAACUGAGACACGGUCCAAACUCCUACGGGAGGCAGCAGUGAGGAAUAUUGGUCAAUGGGCGCUAGCCUGAACCAGCCAAGUAGCGUGAAGGAUGAAGGCUCUAUGGGUCGUAAACUUCUUUUAUAUAAGAAUAAAGUGCAGUAUGUAUACUGUUUUGUAUGUAUUAUAUGAAUAAGGAUCGGCUAACUCCGUGCCAGCAGCCGCGGUAAUACGGAGGAUCCGAGCGUUAUCCGGAUUUAUUGGGUUUAAAGGGAGCGUAGGUGGACUGGUAAGUCAGUUGUGAAAGUUUGCGGCUCAACCGUAAAAUUGCAGUUGAUACUGUCAGUCUUGAGUACAGUAGAGGUGGGCGGAAUUCGUGGUGUAGCGGUGAAAUGCUUAGAUAUCACGAAGAACUCCGAUUGCGAAGGCAGCUCACUGGACUGCAACUGACACUGAUGCUCGAAAGUGUGGGUAUCAAACAGGAUUAGAUACCCUGGUAGUCCACACAGUAAACGAUGAAUACUCGCUGUUUGCGAUAUACAGUAAGCGGCCAAGCGAAAGCAUUAAGUAUUCCACCUGGGGAGUACGCCGGCAACGGUGAAACUCAAAGGAAUUGACGGGGGCCCGCACAAGCGGAGGAACAUGUGGUUUAAUUCGAUGAUACGCGAGGAACCUUACCCGGGCUUAAAUUGCAGUGGACUGAUGUGGAAACAUGUCAGUGAGCAAUCACCGCUGUGAAGGUGCUGCAUGGUUGUCGUCAGCUCGUGCCGUGAGGUGUCGGCUUAAGUGCCAUAACGAGCGCAACCCUUAUCUUUAGUUACUAACAGGUUAUGCUGAGGACUCCAGAGAGACUGCCGUCGUAAGAUGUGAGGAAGGUGGGGAUGACGUCAAAUCAGCACGGCCCUUACGUCCGGGGCUACACACGUGUUACAAUGGGGGGUACAGAAGGCAGCUAGCGGGUGACCGUAUGCUAAUCCCAAAAGCCUCUCUCAGUUCGGAUCAAAGUCUGCAACCCGACUUCGUGAAGCUGGAUUCGCUAGUAAUCGCGCAUCAGCCACGGCGCGGUGAAUACGUUCCCGGGCCUUGUACACACCGCCCGUCAAGCCAUGGGAGCCGGGGGUACCUGAAGUGCGUAACCGCGAGGAUCGCCCUAGGGUAAAA
rnacentral:rRNA from 1 species